CGCAGGUUUUGGUUCCGGGCCGAGGGGGUUCCGGGGUGCGCGGAGCUGCUGCGGGUGGGGGGCCGCCCCCGCCCCCGGCCCCGGCCCCGCGGGGAUGGACGAGGAUGGGCUGCCCAUCGUGGGCUCCGGCAUUGACCUCACCAAGGUUCCUGCUAUUCAGCAGAAAAGAACUGUAGCGUUUCUAAACCAGUUUGUGGUUCACACAGUGCAGUUUCUGAACCGCUUUUCUACUGUUUGUGAAGAGAAAUUGUCAGCACUCUCUCUCCGUAUUCAGCAGAUCGAAACAACACUCAAUAUUCUGGAUGCAAAGUUAUCCUCUAUUCCUGGCCUAGAAGAUGUCAAAUUUGAAGUGUCCAGUGCAAAUACAAAUAGUGUUACAAAUGGUCCUGUGGCACAAGCUACUACAGAUCAACAGACAGCUGUAUCACCUCAAUCUGGACAGAACAGUGUACAGGAAGAAGGGUUACAGAAAACGGAGGUAGUUACAGAAAAUGUCACAACUGUGGCCAAGGAUCCAAGAUAUGCCAGAUAUCUCAAAAUGGUACAAGUGGGUGUUCCUGUAAUGGCAAUACGAAACAAAAUGAUUUCUGAGGGACUAAAUCCAGAUCUUCUCGAAAGAUGAUUUGUCACAUAAGGGAGAAAGACUCAAGAUAAAAAUGGGACUAUGCAACCAUGUUGUGGGGCCUUCUUUUGAAAGAUCCUACAGGCAGAUGUCCUACUUAACAGGAGACCCCUCAUGUUCUUCCAAUUUCCAGCUAUGCUUAAUUAUUUACUGAUUGAGAACAUUUCAGCCAUUAGGCAAAGAAUCCUCUCUUUCUGUGUGGGAUGCCAGAUGUCAGCUGCGAUACGGUCUGCAGAGACACACACUGUCUUAAGGGUACCUGGGCAGUAGGAUGAUGGGCUUAGUAAUUUCUGCCCUAUUUGAAAAAGCACUGUCCCUAUUCAGAAGUAGAUGUAAAGAAAUAAUGAGCUGUGUACAAAGUGUGUUAUGUGCAGAGUUGAGUGGCAGAGGACAACUAGUUUUCACUGUACCAGCAGAAGAAUUACCAUGAACAAUAUGUAGAACCAAAAGCAGCGACUACCGUGACACAAUCUUAAGGGAAUGGACACUUCAGAAUGUGACUGGAUUUGUAUGUCAAGUUUAAUAGAAUUCACUACAAAAAUAUUUGCUCCCAUCACUGUAAAUACAGAUAUAAGAAGUCAGAAGGUACUUUGAUUUAUAUAAGCAGCCAGGAAAUACCAGAAGCCUAAAUCAUUCCAGUUUGUUCUAGGAUCUUACAUUGCAGUCCUGAUAAGGGCUGGUAGUUAAGUGCAUGGGGAAAACGAUUACACCAAUCCAUAUCCUUUAAAAAGAAGCAGGUUUAAAAACAAAGUUAAAAAAAUAGUGUGGGAAAAAGUGACAAAAAUUACUAGAUUCCUGAAAGGAACUUGUACUGGAAUUCAUGUCCUGUUUGCAAUAUCUACCGUGAACUUCAGCCUCUAUAGCUUCCUCCUUGUACCCUGCACAAGGUGUAGCUGUACACAGCCAAAACAAAGCCAGCUCUGUGUGCUUCUCCAUGUGCAGCAUUAGAAAGAAGAACACAAGCUGUAAAUGAAGUUGUUUCAAGAACAAGUUUUGUGAUUAUACAUUAAUUACUAGUGAAUCAGCUGGUCUUUGUCCAAAUUUGUGUAAAUCUAAAAUCAGUAAGUUGGUUAAAAAAACAUUUUACAAUCCUAGGAAGUUAAAGGCACUGAAAUGGCCAUAAAUAAACGUUAAACAGUAAAACUAGAUGUUGAAAAACAGACUCCCCAGAUAUGUUGGAAAAGAGCCUAUAAAAGCCUUCAAAAGAAUUUUCUUCAAAACACUAUGAAAGUUAACAGGAAACGCUCUAUAGGAGAUUUCAUGAUAAUUAUAAAGAUGUUGUUUGGUACUUUCUGAAUACUGUGUUCCUUUGUUAAAAAAACCAAUACUGACAGUUCCCAACAACCCAAAAAAGAAAUUAUCAGAGCAGCAACAAAUAUAUGCUAAGGAGUGAGCUCAGAUUAGCAAUAAUUUAUGUUGAACAGUGGUUUAGCAGUAGACUAACAUAAUUGUCCCCUGCGCUGAGUAUUUAGUAGAUGAGAACUAAUUCCAUAGGCUUCGUUGGAUGAAGUAUGACUGCAUAUAUGAUUGAUCCUAAUGCAGGCCAGUAUAAACACUGGUAAGAAAAGCCAUCUUUGCCCUUUUCUGCUGGAGCCUCUAUCCUCCUGAUCAUCAACAGAUGUUUUAAGACUUCAUUACAUAUUAUUUGGUGGGUGAUCAUUUACCUUGUGGCUCUUCCAGUUGCAUAAGCAUAGUUCUCUUCCCUUUACUUGCCCCCAGACCAGUACUGAUCCAUUAGACUCACCAUAGGUUUGUAGUUCUGCAUCUGUUGUAUUUCCAAUUUCACUGUUUUCCUUUCUUGUUUUUUUUUUUCCUGUUUUCCUAUGACUCCUUGAGAUGUAUUUCAGCCAUCACUUAGCUGCUGGGAGUGGAGAACACAUCCCAGUCAAGCAAACCCUCCUUGCAUCCACAUCGACACCCGUUUCAGAGUCUCCUACCUGACACCGGGGGCUAAAGCAGGUCACCACAAGUAUCUUUCCUGUGUAGCUCAUUCCUCAUUGUUUCAUUUUAGAGACUCUGUUCCUCUUCUGUUCUGUGAUUUUGCUGUCAAAAAAAUCCCCUGUGUUCCCUAUGAGACUGCCAAACAAGCUGGUGUGUUCCCACCAGAAGCUGCACGGGGACCUUUACAAGUAAGCACAACCUCCUGUUAACCCAAAGUCUACACUGAAAAUCCAUGGAAAGGGGAAAUCCUCCUGCUGCAAUCUGUGAGCAGGAACCUCUUCUCCAGGUCCUGUGACUGCAGUUACAAUAUAACUUUGCUCCUAAGAAACCUAUCAGGGUAUUGAUCCUUAGUAUCCAGAAAAUGGAGGAAAAGUGCUUCCUGACCCCACUAUGUAAUUUGUUGUCACUUGACGUAAUUAAUUAUUUGCAAGAUAAUAAAGGAGUCUUUCUGUUUUUCUUCAUUUCCACUGAGGCCAGUGAUAAGUAGCAUGUUUAGAGGCAAAUUCCUGUAGUCCCACCUUUUCCUUUCCCUCUUUUCUCGUACAGGGACUCUCCUCUUUCUCACCCGUUUUCUCAGCUUCCAGUCUUUAGACCUGUUUCUGAGUCUGCAUGCCUCGAGAGUAGCUGACACAAAUAGAACACAAAUACAUGGGAACUGCUGGUUCUGAAACACGAUUACAUAAUCUAGUAUUGCAGAUGAUGACCCAUCUCCAGCUCCUCUUGAAGAAAACUGAGACAUCACUAAUUCCUGUUUUGUCAUGCUGUUUAACUGCUAGUAUGAUUUAUGGGAUGCUUUCAAUAACCCAUCCAUGGUAUUGCUAGGAUUUUGGUUUCCGAGACUUCUGUUUUUCCAAAACCCAGAGGUAUGCACGAAGGCAGUGCUUCUGUUCUUCCUAGAAAUCCAUGAGAGACUUAUCUGUCCCCAGUCCCGAGCUGAACGCUUGAUGUCCAGCGCUAUUUGCUCACUGAAUUUAACUGAGUGGUUUGAGAGUCAACGCCCUUUCAUCCUUCAACCCCUACUCAAGAAGACUCAGUGGUCGGCAGGAUUGCAUUUUUACUUCAGAAAUUGUUUUUUAUUUGUCUGUUUGUGCAUUUUUCCAGAGUGAAUUUUUAUCUGACUGUGCAAUGAACAGUUUCCAAUCCUGUCUUUCUUUAGUUUCCUCUCACUCCUCUUUAGUCUUAACAUUGUUAAAUAUUUUUGCAACCAGAAGGUAUUUUUGGAGUGAAUAUACUGCCAUGACUCUCUGUUUUCAAUGGCAACGCUCAGUUCUGGCUGCCAUGAACAGACACAAGAUGCCAUGUAAAACUGCAAGUUGAUUUUUAAAAAAUAUGAUUAUAUAAUGUUGUACCAUUCCUUUUGGUUGAAAUUCCAGGAAAGUAGAGAUCAGGAUUUUGUAUUGCCUAUCCUAAACAGUAAGCAUGUUUUAAAUUCAGUUCAAGACUAAAAACCUAUACUAAUACAAUAAUAGCGUUCAAAUUUUAAAGCUUUUUGGCAAGGAGGGGUACUGAAAAAAUGUCAGCUUCACCCUUUGACAGCACUGGCAAUCACCCUUUAAAAUCUUCUAUAAUACUAUAAUUACCCCAAAUAUUUGGUUUAAACACUUUUAAGCUAACUAGCCAUGCCAGCUGUACGCAAGAUCUCAGUUGAGAGUUGAUUUUGGUCUGCAGUCAGGUCAGAGAGCACCCAUGACUUACUACCUGCAUACGUUUAAAUUCCCCAGACAUCAAAUUGAGACCACAAAAUGGAGGAAAGUAAGGCUAAUUUGUUGACUGUCACGAAGAAAGAUGAUUUCUGGAACAGAAUCACAGAAACCACAUCCUAAUACUAACAUACUAGGAGAACUGUUUGCCAACACAAUUUGUGUGAAUUAAGUAUUAGGUAACACAGAAGGACAGAGGACAAAGGGAGAAAUAAGAAAUGGCGCCAUCUCUGUGCCCCCAAAACCCAUAGGAAGCUGUGCCAAUGGAAAGCUUCCACACUCCUGAGAAAACAAGUGCUUGCUGAAGCUUGGCUCCUGGCUCCUCAGUUGCUUCUAAGACUGUUACAGCUACUUCAAAUCUUGCCCCAGUGCCAGGAUCUUUGCACACAAUUGCGCUGAAUUUCAAAUUAAAUGUUGUUAGAGGCUUAAUCAGAACUACAUCCUUUUGUAGCUGUGGUAUCCAUUCUGAGACCUCAAGUCUAAAUACUUCACUUUGAACACUCUGUUUCUGUUUCCUCAGUAAGAAAACAAGUUGGGUUUAAGGAGCGGAAGCAGAACAAGCUGAGUCUUAGAGCUUAACGUCUCCUUCAAACUGCUUACGGGGAGAUAACUUGUUUUCCAGAUUCAUCCCUGAGGUUAUUCUGCUGACACCAGAAGCUAUUCAGGAAACAUCCCCAGGCUCUGUGAACAACAUAUGCGCUUGCUGAGCAGAGCAAGAAAUACUGACAGCUAAAGCCAGUAGAAGGCUUGGAAUCUGAUAUCAGUUAAUUAAAGAAGAAGAUCACUUCUCCUUCAAGUGAAGGUUCUUAUCUUCUAUUGAAUUUGGAUCUUCAAAGAUCCAAAUAGCUCUCUGUAAGAAAACAGGGAUAUUUCUUCAGAGGCAUUUCUGAACAUUACGUUUUUGCCUGAAGAGUAAGACCUGUGGUCAACAUCCUUUUUAAGCAGUAAAGACGAGACUUUCCGUGUAAUCCUAUUGAAGGUUCAAAUGUGUACAAAAUUAUAUUUAUAACUUUUCAGAGGGAAAAAAAGCCCACAAAUUAUUGUAUUAUCAAAAAUAAACCUUGAAAAAAGACUAGCAAUUGUAUAAAACAAUGUUUAUGGUAACCUCACAAUAACAGCCUUUGUCUUUCCCAGGUCACCCAUACGAAUCAAAUCUAGCACAGAAUACUCGAAAAGACAGAGCCAGUCUAGAAACGAUGGGAUGUGACAAAGCCUAGGUGCAUAAGACCUUGUUUCAGAACAUUUGGUUGCAGCAUAGUCAGUGUUUUUGAGGUAUCUACACACUGGAUGUUUAGGGGGGAAGUUGGUCGAUUUGGACAACAAAAAAAAUCCUUUGAAUUGUAGUAUUGUUCAAGAAUUGUAUCACCCAGUCACCCAUGGACAGACAGAAUAUAAAUAGUUCCAUAUUCUAGCUAAAAUGAACAAAGAUUUUAAAAGAGCCUUUAUGCUCAAAGAUAAAAGCAAAGGCAUAUAUUAUAUCUCUUUAACAGUAUUAUUUCCUUUUUCCUGAUUAGAAUUUCCCUAAUCUUCCACAAGACCUUUCAAAUUAACUUUAAGCUAUUGACUUUUUGCACGGUUUCCACUUUUGCCAAACAACACAAACCAAGACCCUUAUAGCAGACAUGAUCUUCUCAUACCAACCUCUUUCUGUCCAUGACAUUGCAAAUUUUAGUGACAUUUGCUGUGACCAUCUUACCAAAGUGAUGAUAGUCUGUGCUGCCAGCACUCUUCUUCUUGCCAUUACCAUAGCAAAAUGCUCUCGAAUAAUUCAAACCAAAAGAAAAAACUCCAUGCAAACUAUCUAAUGUGUUUCAGUCACCUGAUGCAGUUUGAAAGGCAGGAAAGAUAACUUUGCAUGGAGAUCCAUCAGCUGCUAAUAGGCCUAAUAAAAGUAGGGCUACAGAGAUUGUUCCUGCAGAUCUUAUGAUGAAAGUCUAGAUAUUCAUCAGAGAAACUGUCUUUGAAAUGUACCUUCUAUUUACAAUGAAUAAAAUUAUGAGUGUGUGUUGGGAGAGGACUUGUGGACUAAGAAGAUUCUACUGUGUUAAAGAUGUCUAUAAUAAUGACAUAUUCUUACUUUGUCAGAGCACUUUCUAUAUUUUUUUUCAUCCAUACAACAAUUUGAUGGGACUUUGUAGAGGAUUAUCCACGCUCAGUGUGGUUUAUUUAAGACUGACAAUGCUGAGCUUAUAUCAUUGCUGGUGAAAUAAUGUUCAGAGGCCUGGAUUAUUGCUACACUUCACAGAGGACAUGCAAAAAAUGCUAACUAGAUGUUUCAUUAGGCAAGGAAAUAAGUGAAAAAAAAGGCAUCAUACAUACACAAAAGUGCAUUUUAAAUAGAUACAGCAGCUGCCUUUGAAUUUUUUUUACAACCUGACACAUCACUCUUUUUGGGUGCAGACUGGCUGCAAUUUUGAAAUGUUAAAAUCUUGUUCUUUUUAUACUGUUGUCCCAUGAAAAUAAGGUCUAUAUUGUCUUCUGAUGCUCCAUUGCAAACUGACAGAAUUCUAUUAAAGCACUGAAUAAAAUGCUCCUUCUUUGUAAUAGAGUAGGAAAAACUUCCCAAGAGAAGUGGCUUAGUAAUGACAGCUGGAUUGCAGCUUGCACCAGUGCUAACUGCAGCAAGUGGCUCCUUUGACUUAGACAAAUUAAAUUGAAAUUGAAGUUGCUAUGAAACUACAUGUUGCAGUAGCAAAACAUAUUUACUUAGACGAAGGCAGGAAGGAAUGGCAAGGAAACUUAGAUCUGACUUGUUUUCCACAAAGGCAUAAUAAAAAAAUCAUUUAACCAGGCCUCCAGACGACUAUUAAAAUCAAUUAAAGCUACCUACAAAACUAUUGGACUUGCCAGCCUGAACGUGGGAAAUAAACCCGGAUCAUGUGGUCUCCUAGUGCCAUCUAUUGUGUACAGGGAAAACUACAGAUACCAUGUGUAGGAGUUGCCUAUUUUCUCCUUAAGAUGUGAAAAAUGGUCUUUCUGCAUAACAAUACCAAUUAAAAAAUGUAGCCAAAGCUCAUUAAAGCCCUUCUGUUAUUUAUAAAAUACACCAAGUAUUAUUAUUUAUGUGUAUUUCAGCAACAUACAGGACUCUAACCACUGUCAGGCUUCAUCAUGCCAAUACUGUAUAUAUAUGCAUGUUGACCAUAUGAGCACAUGCACAUGCACAGAAAUGCAGUGAAAGACGGAUCCAACUGUGAUGGGCUUAGUCAAAGCUUCAGAGAUCUUAUAAAUUAAAACCUAUUGUUACUUCCCUACAUUAUGUUGAAUUUCUCCCAAAUAAAAGGACCUUAGCUCAUCUUCCAAGGAAAUAUACAUUAUCCCUUCUUAAAAUGCUGCCUUUCACUGUUUCUUGGAGGAGAACAGCUCUUCCAGCUUCUUCCAGAGAGAAUAUUUCUAGUGGACAUUGCAAACCGCUAGGAACAGUUCACCACCCCCAAACACUCUGCCAUCUUCAAGCAGGCCCUCUAAAACCUGAACACUUGUGAAAACGUGGUAUCAAUAUUGAGACUAAGACUGUAUUUACAGAGCAGUUUAAAAUACCAAGCUCUUGAAUGUCUUUACAAACUUCAUACCAGAAUGUCAAAAAUUCACUGACAUGUUACCAUAAUUACUCUGUUCCACUUGAAACUUUUGCAACAAGUAUUAGGACAAAGUAGCAAAUCCCCUGCCAUCGAGAUUAUUUUACUACUGUCAAACAUAUGCUGCUGUCGCACACAAGGCAGUGUGCAAACCGAGCAGAUCAGAAAUUAAAAUUCAGAAGACCUCAUGAGAAAAGCCAAAGGUGCAAUAUAUGGUGAUCACUGGCUUAGUGCACAUAGGAAGGGAAAGCAGUGCCAGUAACAGUGUCCUAAGACAAAGUUGGUUUUAGGUAUUUUGAGUUGAUUGAGUUUCAUCCUUACAUGACAUGAUCUGGAACUGUUACAGAGACCACACCAGUGGCAUUUCAUCCGCAGAUCAAGCUGCACAACCUAGAAAAAUGAGCCUUUGCACUUUUGGAAGGGAUAGAAUGAUUUAACAUAACCACUGAAAAUAACAGCAACUGUCAUGUGAUUUACUGUAGUUUACGCAAAAGGAAUUUCUCAAUCACUGCUGAUGGGCUGACAAAUAGAAAACAUCAUGCAGAGCAGAUGAUGAAAAUAUUUCUAAUAUAGGUUCCAAGAAAAAAUAGUUAUUUAUUGUUGCUAAGAAGUGGGAAAAUAUAGAAAAGGCAACAGAAAUUUAUGGGACAUUAUCCACACUAACCUGUAGAGAUCACUUGCUUAAAAAAACGAAAGUGUAUUAACUAACAAGACUCAGCCACACCUAAAAUAGUACACCUUGCUAGAAUAAUAUUUUUUUGCAAUUGCUUGCAACUUGUCAACUCCCAUUUCAACUGAAAAAGUAAUUAAGCUCUUGACUGAAAAUCUGCCUGGAGCCAGAGAAUAAUCACAGUGUUUUCAACACUUGUUCACUGCACAAAUAAAAAGGAAAUAAUCCAUUGUCUCCAUCUGCAUGUCGAUGCACGCUGAUGUUUUUGGCCUAACAAAUUUAAUAAAAGGUACACAGUUGGCAAUGUAUUCUUUUGGUCAUGACUAUAGCUCUCAUUAAAAUGUAUCAUGAUAAAACUCAGAAAAAGGUGAAAGAUUUCACAGAAUCCCAGAAUAUGCCAAGUUGGAAGGGACCCACAAGGAUCCUCGAGUCCAACUCCUGGCCCUGCACAGGACUAUCCCCAAGAGUUACACCAUGUGUACUCCAUUCAGUAGUUCUUCAGUACUUGAAUUAACACAUUGAUUUCAGCAAACAAGAUUAUCUUGAUUCAGCCUGAACAUUUUUUCCCCCCUUUAGGAUACUGUAAUCACUGUAAAGGUUGGUUAUCAUUUGCAAUAAAAAUUUUAAGCUUCUUAUAAUUUAGUUUACGAAAUCUAGGAAUAAAAAAUAAUAGAAGAACAAUACACAGUGUAGUAAGAAAUUUUGUCUUUUCGUAACAUGGCCUUCAAAAUAACAGGAUGUUAAUUUUUAUGGUUGAUAUAAAUUUUCUUUUGAGUAUUUCUGAUCUUCUCUUGAAAGAAUGUGUGUCCCUUGCAGGAUACCUAAUCAGCAAGACAUAGGUGCUUUAUUUAGUCAGUACUAGGUUUGAAUUUGAAUUUGAUUGUAGCUAUAAACCUCUGAAAGAUAACCUGAUUACUAUGGAAAGUAAAUCUGCCAAUGAAAAACAUUUUUACUCUUUUUAUUUGGAAGAACUUAUAAAGAAAACAUUGACUCUUCAUGUUGUGAAGCAGCUGAAUUUAAUACAGUUUAAAAUACACAUUAAAGGAAAUAUCAACAUAUGACUAAUCUUAAAACAUCACCAUCCAAAACACGCAUUCAUUUUAUUUCGUGGAAAAUUAGCAACUGAAAAUCAUCAAUAUUUCUGCAUAAAAUGUGAUAGAGCAUGGCAAAUGUAACUUUCAGAGAACUGAACUGACAGCCAAGUGGCUAAUGCACUGAGUGGAGGUAGCAGAUCAGUCAACAAAAGAACUUUUUGCCUGCAGAUACCUGUAACAUCUGACUCCACAAUUAGAUCCUUUCCCAGUUUUUCAUUACAGAAGUAAGUCUAUAGCAGCAAAUAUGCCAUACCUUCACUACAGAUGCUCUCCAGGGUUUUUUUUUCCUUCAGUUUUAUAUAUAUAAUACUCAUACACAUAGAAGCAAACACCUGAAAACUACUUGUUUUCCAUUCAUUUCCAAAGACUUUUUGGAGACCUUCUUCGUUCCAUCAUUGCAGGUUAAAACACGGGCUGGAAAUUUCUGCUUUGUGUUAACCAAAUUGCAGUAAGAUUUCUCUUUAGUAUGGCAUGCAUAAAUGUAAAUUUACUUUCUAUUCCCACUUUAGUUUUAAGUUUCCUAUGGCCAGCAGUGCAUAAAAGGGAAAAAGGGGUAAAUGUUUACAUAUUGCAGUGAUGAUCAGAAAACACCUUUUCAAGCAAUAUAGUUUAAACUUCUCCUAGCAUUUGUAUUUGUAUACAAUGCCCAGUAUCAGAAACAUGUAGCAUAGUGUUACCACCUACUCACUUAAUUUCUGGUCUUGAAACAAAGAUGCCCAAUUCUGCUCUCAACAUCUUCCAUAGCCCUUGCAACUUGACAGAGUAGGAAUUCAGCCUUAGUGAUUUCCAUUGCCUUUAGACUUUCCUAACUGUUUGCAAAAUGUACUUUCUCCAGUUUAAAAGUAAUGUUACUAAUUAGACUACAGCAAAUUAUAAAGUAUGGAUAUGUCCAAAAGGGAAGAUCUGAGGAGAUCAAGUCCUUGAAUGACUUUGCAGUGCUUCUAGGGAUUGCUUCUAUUACAGUAUUUUUAAUAUAACAAACCGUAUAAAAAUUACAAAAUAUUACAAAAAGGCAGCAGGAACAUUGCUGUUUUUAAAGUCUUUUAGUGGAUGCUGUUACAGAUGUUGCAGAGUUAAUGGCAUGGGUUCUUAAUGCAAUUUAUCAAUCCCUGUCCCUCUGCAACAUUUUCUAUGAGUAAAAAGAAACCUAGAAUAUUCAUAGAUAUAAAAUAUUUUUACUUUUCACUACCAGGAGUCUUCAUGUAUUUCUGUUGAUAUCCUCAAAGAAAAUCUCUAAAAAAAAAAAAAACAAGAUCAGCUUAAGAUAAAUUAAUUUUACAGUUCUGCAAUCUAAUGUACAUGGAGAUAAAACAAAACAAAAGAAAAAAGUGUUUAAGUGAAAUACAUCCCACAGGAAUUUUUUUUUAAAAAGGGGAUGAUUUUUCUUAAUUUUUCUUAUAUUUCUUAAUUCCAUCAUUUUCUCCUAUUUAUUAUAUUCACAAUAUUUAUAUAUAGUUAAACUUUGAAUGUUUAACACCAUGAUCAGAAGUAAAAUUAUCAACUAAAACUUGCUAAUAGGUAUUCUGAGGACUACAGCAUUGUCCUGUUAAUAUCCAUCUCCAAGGGAAGAGUCUGACCUUUGAUAAAAGAGAUGCCAUCAUAUAUGCAGGCAUCAGAGUGAUGGACUAGCAAUAAACAUCUCCCCACAAAAUGGAGCAUUAAAUGAUGCAUGCAUUUCUGAAUGGUACUUCAAUAAUUCUGUCACUUUUAGAAGGCAAUUAUAUACCUUUAAGAUAAUGCGUUGUGUAAUUUUGAACAAGUACUUUUUUAAAAAAAAUGAAGUGCUUUUUUCUGCUGAACCUGGGGGAUUUUAUUAUUAUUUAAUAAGGAAAAGCUCUACAGCCAUGGUCUAUUCAGUACUAAGUCAACAGACAUAGAAAUGUUUGCUGUUGGUUAGUAAAAUAUAUGUCAACUCUGAAUCCUUGGUUGCAAAUUGAUUUCUGUACAAAGCUAUGUACAUAUUAUAUAGAGGUAUUAACUACUUCCAUGCUGAAGUGAAGAAGGAAGUGAAUUAAUGACAAAGUUUUACAUGAUCUGAUGCCAAACUUUGGUUUUACACUAGAGGACGUAGAGGGUUCUCAUUAUUUUUCCACCCUUCCCACCUCCACAAAUUCUGGAUAUGGUUUCCAGCAAUUUAUCACAGCACCAACUUGUUCUCAUAUUCUACACUUAUGCACAUACUUACUAGGAUCUAGUUUUCAACUUUCUGGGACUUGUGUGAGGCACUGCUAUAAAUGAAAGACCUACAUAUGGGGUAUGAGACCUACAGUGAUUACGAGUGAGUCAGUUCAUCUUUGUGACUGUGGUAUAAAGCAGCAGUUCUCAGUAAGCAACAAGAGCUGGUGAGGCAAAGCUUGGGAAACUAAGUUCAAGGCAUGCCUUUCAUAAGUCAUAUAAAAGUGGGUUUUUUUAACUAAUCUAGUAUUUCUCUUCCUUAAAUUCAGGCUUGAAGCAUCACCAGAUCCAGCUACCCAAACCACAAUGUCUUUAUGUCAAAAAUUUUCCAAAAAUUGAUAUUUUUUUGGACUGUGAGGGAAUGUCAAGCAAGAUGUGUAAUAUCUAAAAAGAAAGGAAACAUCCAUUGUUGAAAUGCACUGGAUUAUUAUAUAAAAACCCUCAGGUAGAAAGAAAUGCAGUUUUAGUUGCAUGAUUUAUUUUUUCAUUACUUCAGAGAGCCUCUUUCUCAAAAAUAUUGGUAAAUAAGUAGAAUAUAUUAAUUUACUGAAUAAUUGUCCACACCAGAUACCUAAUUAACUAUUAAACUGAAUUUUAUGUUUUAAAAAUGAGGGGAAAAAUACUCAUUACAUAGACAGAAAUCAUUUUUGACAUUGGUAAAAUUUGUUUUUGUAUAGCUUUGGUGUAUCUGUCUGACAUAAAGAAUGGUAAUUUUCAAUUGCAUUUGUUAUACAAUUCAUAGCACUUAGUCACUAAAUAAUGCUAAAAUAUGUAGAUACCAACCUGAAAAUCUCUAAUGAAUGUUAAAAAGAAGAAGAUAAAACCAAAGGCCACCGUCCAUUCACAGAUUGCACUCAUAAAAUGAUAAGUGUAAUCCUGAUGGAAUGAGACAUAAAACAAAUUUUCAAAUAAAACAGCUAAACAGAAUACAUAUGGAAUGCUAUAGACAUUUCCUUCUGUAAAUUCAAUAUAAGAUUUAUGACUCAUCAUUUUAAUGUCCUGUUGUGUAAAAGUCAAUUCAGAUUUUGUUUUUACAGAAUGGUAAGUACAUCUCAAGUUAAAAAAAAAAAAAAAACCAAACCAAACCUCAAGGUAUUACUAAGAUUGUCUAACUUGUAAAGACUUAUCUCACGGCUGCCUUGCCACUGUUUGGUUGAAAUACAUCUGCCAGGUUUGCUUUUAUCAAGCUUAUCAAGUAGGAUACACUCUCUGCAUUAUUUUACCUGUUUUUUAAUACUUCAUUGUGGCAAAAUUUGUCCAAAAAUAAAAAUUACUUUUCAUAGUUAUCAUUCUGAGAACACUGAAAUCAACUAAAAUACCUAAUAUUGACUUAAGUGUGCUUCAGGUAUGACCCCAAAUAUUUAUGGCAAUAAUAGAGACUAUUUAAUAAAGAAUGGUAAAAAAGCUGAGAAAACCAAUGUUGUAAAAAAACCUCAGAAACUUCAGAAUCAAAUUGGUCCAUUUAAGUUUCAUGUGUAAAGUUCAGUUUCAAGAAACUGAGGAAGUAGAACAACUAAUUUCCAGAAUAUCUUUUUUUUUUCUUUUACAGUGGGAAAGUUUCAAAUGCUUGGUUAAAAUGAAAAUCUAACUCUCUAAAGACUGAACCAUCCGUUGCAAGUUCCCUUACCCAAGCCACAUACACUUUCCUAAUGAAAAGUAACCAGCAUUGCACAAAUCUGUUCAUGAUAAUGCACUAUUUAAAGUCUCUAAAAUGUUUCUAGGGCUAGACACUUUUAGAUAAAUAUAACAGCAUUCCCAAAAUAAUAUGAUAGAGGGUGAGUUGGCUACCUAAUAAGAUUUUACCUUUUCACCUGGAGUCCAAUCAAUUUUUGUCAUGGAAACCUGAGAAGCGAACACAAUCACUGGGAAAAACAGUGUGAAGGAAAACCAUAAAAUUUUAGUGAGUAAUAGUGAAAAUGUUUGCUUACAAAAAAAACCCCAUCUUCCCCUUCCAUAAAACAGCAGAACCUGAACAACCAGAAUAUCAAAUCAAGAUAUUAAGAAAACAAGUAGAUGAAACACAUUAUUACAAGGUAACUGGUAGCAGCAAUCAAAACACAUUUCUGUUGGUUCUUUCAAAAUACAGAUGAUAAGGAGAGACACUCCAAAACUUAAAUCAUAUUUGUGAUCAAGAACUGAGGGAGCAUAGUCCUUCAUUGUUGGAAGGGGAACUAUGUUGGUUUCCACUGGUCCACAAUAGGUGCUUGAUAUAUUUGUACAACUUCCUCUCAGGAACUGGGAGCAUCUUUAAAAACACUUUCCCACCUGCUGAAACCAAAACCAGGCUAUAUCUGGCUGACUGAUGUGAUGAAUCUGCUGUGACCAGUUUCCAACUGGCAGAUCACCCAAAGCCAAUGAAAUUAAUGGGAUGGCCCUAAAUUUCAGCAUGCCAUGGGAAAAGCCAGUAAGUGUGUUGAGUGUGUCUUUAGGGGAGGCAACUAAUGAAGACUAGCACCAACCAACAUGAUCAAAAUCACUUGCUUAGGCUUGAAGGAAAUCUUGCCACUUGUAUUUUAUACAUCUGUGUGCUUGGUUCAUUGUAGAAGCAGUGCCUCCCUUUUGCAGGCCUUUCUCCUUCUCUCCUUCAAAUGAAGCUUUAUUAGUGUAUGAUCCUGUGAAGAACACUGGGGCAUUGGUUUGAAAUAUACCACUGAAAUAAGAGAUAAAGCUUUUCAGAAGACCCUAAACCUCAUCUUUAUGCUAUUAAUGGUGUCUCAACAUGCUAUAUUAUAUGCAUUAAAGAGCCCUAAGCAAAGAGUGUAACUUCAUUUUCAUCCUUUAUCAACAAUGUUUUAACUUAAAAGGAAAGUCAUGAAUGCAUAAAGGGAAAACUGUGGGAUACACCAUAAAGGAUACUGGGAAUGAAAGCAAUGCAUGAUAUUGCAGAUAUAGCCAUCCUUAUGUGACACACAAAGUAAGAGUUCCAUCGUGGACAGGACUUGUAAGAGAUUAUAGACUGAAGUGUAAUGUAUACAACACCCGAGCCAAAUGCCACCAAAGCUCCUAUGUCAUGGACACUGGGAACAGCCAGCUCCUGGAAAAAGAAUCAGCAUAAUGGUUAGCUGCUACUGUCUGAGUAGUGGUAGGAAUCAAUGAGGCGUGAGGAGACAGCAGCCACAUUGUGUUGGGCACACACAAGGAAUGGGAAACAGUCCCUUUUCCAAACAGGGAAGAUGAAAGAAAA